rnacentral:rRNA from 1 species
UACGUAGGGUGCAAGCGUUAAUCGGAAUUACUGGGCGUAAAGCGUGCGCAGGCGGUGAUGUAAGACAGAUGUGAAAUCCCCGGGCUCAACCUGGGAACUGCAUUUGUGACUGCAUCGCUGGAGUACGGCAGAGGGGGAUGGAAUUCCGCGUGUAGCAGUGAAAUGCGUAGAUAUGCGGAGGAACACCGAUGGCGAAGGCAAUCCCCUGGGCCUGCACUGACGCUGAGGCGCGAAAGCUAGGGGAGCAAACGGG